rnacentral:rRNA from 1 species
UACGGAGGAUGCGAGCGUUAUCCGGAUUUAUUGGGUUUAAAGGGUGCGUAGGCGGUCCGUUAAGUCAGCGGUAAAAUUGCGGGGCUCAACCCCGUCGAGCCGUUGAAACUGCAUCCCUUGAGUGCGCGAGAAGUAUGCGGAAUGCGUGGUGUAGCGGUGAAAUGCAUAGAUAUCACGCAGAACCCCGAUUGCGAAGGCAGCGUACCGGCGCCAGACUGACGCUGAGGCACGAAAGCGUGGGGAUCGAACAGG